AGGGGAACGAGCGGCUCCGGUGGGCCGGGCUCACCGCCCUGAGGGGAACGAGCGGCUCCGGUGGGCCGGGCUCACCGCCAUGAGGGGAACGAGCGGCUCCGGUGGGCCGGGCUCACCGCCCUGAGGGGAACGAGCGGCUCCGGCGGGCCGGGCUCGCCGCCCUGAGGGGAACGAGCGGCUCCGGCGGGCCGGGCUCACCGCCAUGAGGGGAACGAGCGGCUCCGGCGGGCCGGGCUCCUCGGGGCUCGCCGCCGUGAGGCACCGCCACAGCCAUGAGGCCUUCACCGAUGGGGGGAUCGCGGUGACCCGGAGUUGUGGGUGGCCAGGAGGAGCCCUGAGAUGACCCGACCCCGUCGUGUGUGAAACCCCCCGAGCUGUGCUGUGCUGGGACAGCCAAGGACGUGUCUCCAGGAGGGCACUAGAGCCUGCCGAUAGGGGAUGUGAAGGGAUAACCUGCCCGUGAGGCACCAGGAGAGCUCUGGAGCAACGUGGUGAGGUAAAUUGUUGGUGUGGGGCUUGCUGGAGCAGCAGGAGUGGUCAGAGGAAAAGUUGUCAAUGCUGCUUUGAAGAUCUUUGUUUGAAAGGUACUGGGAAGAUGGAAACCUGGAGCCCCCAGUUUAAACAGGGCAACCGGAGAAGAAUUUGUUUUCAGGAUGUGGAUGUAGGAAUUGGAAAUAUAAAAGGUGAUUUGGGGCAAGGUAUAACAAGAAUUAUGUGUACAAUUUACUGUUAAUCUCCUUUCACUGCUUGUUUAAAAUAUAUUUUUAUAUGACCUCAAUUAAAGGUAUUUAUAUUUAA